rnacentral:rRNA from 1 species
UACGUAGGGUGCGAGCGUUGUCCGGAUUCAUUGGGCGUAAAGAGCGCGUAGGCGGCCGUGCAAGUCGGUUGUGAAAUCCCGGGGCUCAACCCCGGGACUGCGUCCGAUACUGCACGGCUCGAGGCAGGUAGGGGAGAGUGGAAUUCCCGGUGUAGCGGUGAAAUGCGUAGAUAUCUGGAGGAACACCGGUGGCGAAGGCGGCAUCCUGGACCGGUAUUGACGCUGAGGCGCGAAAGCCAGGGGAGCAAACGGG